rnacentral:misc_RNA from 1 species
GAUGAAGAACGUAGUGAAAUGCGAUACGUAAUGUGAAUUGCAGAAUUCAGUGAAUCAUCGAGUCUUUGAACGCACAUUGCGCCCUCUGGUAUUCCGGAGGGCAUGCCUGUCCGAGCGUCAUUGCUGCCCUCAAGCACGGCUUGUGUGUUGGGCCUCCGUCCUCCUCCCGGGGGACGGGCCCGAAAGGCAGCGGCGGCACCGCGUCCGGUCCUCGAGCGUAUGGGGCUUCGUCACCCGCUCUUGUAGGCCCGGCCGGCGCUUGCCGACACAUCAAUCUUUUUUCCAGGUUGACCUCGGAUCAGGUAGGGAUACCCGCUGAACUUAAGCAUAUCAAUAAGCGGAGGA